rfam:Bacteroidetes bacterium GWA2_31_9 gwa2_scaffold_7034, whole genome shotgun sequence.
GGUUCCGUAGCUCAGUUGGAUAGAGCAACAGCCUUCUAAGCUGUGGGUCCCGCGUUCGAAUCGCGGCGGAAUCA